rnacentral:rRNA from 1 species
CCUACGGGAGGCUGCAGUAGGGAAUUUUCGUCAAUGGGCGCAAGCCUGAACGAGCAAUGCCGCGUGAACGAGGAAGGUCUUCGGAUCGUAAAGUUCUGUUGAAGGGGAAAAAGAGCGGAGAGAGGAAAUGCUUUCUGAUUGAUAUUACCCUUCUAGGAAGUCACGGCUAACUACGUGCCAGCAGCCGCGGUAAUACGUAGGUGGCGAGCGUUAUCCGGAAUGAUUGGGCGUAAAGGGUGCGUAGGCGGCCUGCUAAGUCUGGAGUGAAACGCAUGAGCUCAACUCAUGCAUGGCUUUGGAAACUGGAGGACUGGAGAGCAGGAGAGGGCGGGGGAACUCCAUGUGUAGCGGUAAAAUGCGUAGAUAUAUGGAAGAACACCAGUGGCGAAGGCGGCCGCCUGGCCUGUUGCUGACGCUGAGGCACGAAAGCGUGGGGAGCAAAUAGGAUUAGAUACCCGGGUAGUC